CAAACAAUGNUAGACAAAAAAGAGCUAAAUUUUGUUUAUCAUGUUGUCCAAUCAUAUCUAGUGCUGCAUAACAAACAUGCAUUAAAUGUAUCACGUAAUUUCUGGUUUUGGUUUCUGCAAGUUGAACCAAGAAAUGCAUUACGUAAAUCAGAAUGCAACCUUGAGGUUUCACCAGCAGAGAAGCUAGAGGGUAAUUUAUAAAUUUCUUCCUCGUGGAUUUUGUGAAUCUGAAGAAAAAAUUUGACUCACCCCAUCUGUGGUGAAUUGUAUAUGUUCCAGACUCUAUUAGUUCCCCCAGCUGUACUUUUGAGUAUUGCUCAUUCAUAUCAACUAUACUCUUUCAGAGCAUAGUUAACCUGUAUUGUGUUAGUACUGGUUAAGUCUACUGUGGUAUUUGUAGAUCUUCGCCUUCUGGCUUUUUGACUUGAUUUUACAAUCUCAGAAGGUAUUUUUAUUGAAUUAUUUUCAUGUUUCUUCAAUCUCGCCUGCUCCUGAGAACUGCUAAUUACAAACUGUUAGAAGCAUGAUGCUUCAUGUAUUACCAUUAGAAUUCACUUGUCUCGGGCUAGAUGUAUGGCUACGACUCUCCCUUCCACCAGUGGAUAGUGGAAGUUAGUUAUUAUACCCAUCAAGGCAAAUAACGUACUCUGGCAAAACUGAACGAAAAAAGAAAUAUGAAUAUUUCACAUUUGAUUUACUGGAGUUCGUUUGUAUUGUGCAGGGGCUUCCGGUUAGCCUCCCUUGAAGAAGAGGCAGUGGUUUCAGGUCAUCCGUUCCAAAAUGUCGCUAGUAUGAGUAUUGGGGCCUCGAGACUAACACUUCUCGACUUCAGCAAGAAAAUAUCGUGUAAACUUUAAGAGUGGUGGGUUAAUCUUAUUCAGUGUUGCUUUCUUUUUAUGUUUAGUUGAGCAAUGUACGUCUUUUAAAUAAUACAAAUACCAGGUAGAUGAUAUAAAUACUUGUGUUAAUUUGGUUUCACGUGAAUAUUAUUCACGAUGUGUUAGCAUUUUUUACUUUUUAUUAUAAUUGAUGUCAUCAUUGCAUGACCUACUUAAUUCAAUUUGAAUUAACAAAAAUUCUUUACUUGUAAGGUAACA
rnacentral:lncRNA from 1 species